GAUGAACGCUGGCGGCGUGCUUAACACAUGCAAGUCGAACGAUGAAGCCCAGCUUGCUGGUUGGAUUAGUGGCGAACGGGUGAGUAACACGUGAGUAACCUGCCCUUAACUCUGGGAUAAGCCUGGGAAACUGGGUCUAAUACCGGAUAGGAGCGCCUACCGCAUGGUGGGUGUUGGAGAGAUUUAUCGGUUUUGGAUGGACUCGCGGCCUAUCAGCUUGUUGGUGAGGUAAUGGCUCACCAAGGCGACGACGGGUAGCCGGCCUGAGAGGGUGACCGGCCACACGGGGACUGAGACACGGCCCAGACUCCUACGGGAGGCAGCAGUGGGGAAUAUUGCACAAUGGGCGAAAGCCUGAUGCAGCGACGCCGCGUGAGGGAUGACGGCCUUCGGGUUGUAAACCUCUUUCAGUAGGGAAGAAGCGAAAGUGACGGUACCUGCAGAAGAAGCACCGGCUAACUACGUG
rnacentral:rRNA from 1 species